rnacentral:piRNA from 1 species
UAAGAAUCCCCUUUCACUGUGAGUGUC